rnacentral:rRNA from 1 species
GAUGAACGCUGGCGGCGUGCCUAAUACAUGCAAGUCGAGCGAACAGACGAGGAGCUUGCUCCUCGGACGUUAGCGGCGGACGGGUGAGUAACACGUGGAUAACCUACCUAUAAGACUGGGAUAACUUCGGGAAACCGGAGCUAAUACCGGAGAAGAUAUUGAAGCGCAUGGUUGAAUGGUGAAAGACGGUGUUGCGGGAAGGUAUAGAGGGAUCCGCGCCGGAUUAGCUAGUUGGUAAGGUAACGGGUUACCAAGGCGACGAUGCGUAGCCGACCUGAGAGGGUGAUCGGCCACACUGGAACUGAGACACGGUCCAGACUCCUACGGGACGCAGCAGUAUGGAAUCUUCCGCAAUGGGCGAAAGCCUGACAGAGCAACGCCGCGUGAGUGAUGAAGGUCUUCGGAUCGUAAAACUCUGUUAUUAGGGAAGAACAAAUGUGUAAGUAACUAUGCACGUCUUGACGGUACCUAAUCAGAAGGCCACGGCUAACUACGUG